UACGUAGGGUGCAAGCGUUAAUCGGAAUUACUGGGCGUAAAGCGUGCGCAGGCGGUUGUGUAAGCCUGUCGUGAAAUCCCCGGGCUCAACCUGGGAAUUGCGAUGGAGACUGCACGGCUAGAGUGUGUCAGAGGGGGGUAGAAUUCCACGUGUAGCAGUGAAAUGCGUAGAUAUGUGGAGGAACACCGAUGGCGAAGGCAGCCCCCUGGGAUAACACUGACGCUCAUGCACGAAAGCGUGGGGAGCAAACAGG
rnacentral:rRNA from 1 species